AUUACAACGUAUCCCUCAGGGAUCCGGAGCCUAGAGUCCUUAUCUGAGGCUUGGAAUGCCCUCCCUAAUGAGGUCUGUUGGGGCUGGAAGUAUGACCUGACAGUGGUGCUGACUGUGGCUGGGACAGGCUUCUUCAUCUACCUCAAGACCGCAGCCUGCAAAAAGGGUCUGAGUCCUUGGGCCCCGUGCAGAGAUGUGCUGGCCAUGGCUGCAGCAUGCGGGGGGAGGUCAGCCCUCCCCACAUGAAUGGAGCUGCACCUCAUAGCAUGCCUGGUAACAUCCCCCCACCCCCUCAAGCUAAGCCAGCCCUGUGGGGUAGCUGCAUCUACACCAUGGUCUCUGUCUUCCCUUUGUGUCCCUUGGCUUAACAAGAGCCUUGCUGGAGUCCCUGGGGGAAGGAAUGGUGCUCAGCUCAGCCUGGGGCUGCCCCUCUUUGUCACAGGGGCAGGAGGGCAUAGUUGACUUGUGGGCAGAGCAUGGGAGUAGGACUUGAGGGCUCUGGCAGCACAGGGGGCCUGGAGCCAUUUGGGGCUUGGGGCAGGGAGUCACUGUCUAAAGCAGGCAGCUGUGAGAAGGGGCCUUGAGUAAGCCCAGUAA